rfam:Pan troglodytes isolate Yerkes chimp pedigree #C0471 (Clint) chromosome 11, whole genome shotgun sequence.
GCUGGGCAUGGUGGUGCAUGCCUGUAAUCCCAGCUACUCGGGAGGCUGAGGCAGGAGAAUCAUUUGAACCCAGGAGGCAGAGGAUGCAGUGAGCUGAGAUCGUGCCACUGCACUCCAGCCUGGGUGACAGAAUGAGAACCUGUCUCAA